AUACGGAGGGUGCAAGCGUUAUUCGGAAUCACUGGGCGUAAAGGACGCGUAGGCGGGUUGGCAAGUCAGAUGUGAAAUCCUACAGCUUAACUGUAGAACUGCAUUUGAAACUGCUAACCUAGAGUAUGGGAGGGGGAGAUGGAAUUAGUGGUGUAGGGGUAGAAUCCGUAGAUAUCACUAGGAAUACCGAAAGCGAAGGCGAUCUCCUGGAACAUAACUGACGCUAAGGCGUGAAAGCGUGGGGAGCAAACAGGAUUAGAAACCCUUGUAGUCC
rnacentral:rRNA from 1 species